AACAUGUCAGAGACGCACGCUUCGAUGAAAGCGGGAACAGGCCGUUGGAGGAAAUGGAUCCCUUUUCUGAGGAGACGAGUCUGUAAUGCCUGCGGAGCCGGAAACCCCGUCGGCCACCCCCUCGCUCUCCUACCUCGGAGGCGGCGAAAGAGGGACCUGACCACGAUCGACAGAUCGAUUUGAACAUUAUUCCCUCAACGGUCGCCCACCGAAAGGGAGUUAUCCGGGCAUGGUGGAGUGGGCCUCGGGUCCAAAUUAUUAUCUCAGGGUGACAUUUUCUGGGGAGCUAGGCAUGUUAAGGAGCAAGUGGAGUGCAACCUUUGUAGCAUUCAUGAACUGAGUGCCUUUUUUUUUAAGGUGGGUUACAGCAUGACGCACUCUCAUGGCUGUACAUGCAUGUGUGUAAUAGAGAAAACCGUGUCAGGGCCUUGGAGCCCGAGUAACGGAACGGCCCUAGCGAGGAGCGCUUGUUGGGAUCCACAGCGACAAGAAUAUGAGUGUACCUAUAAUUUUGGUGCCCUGUCUGGGACUGUCCUCACAGAUGUUUGCUGUGCAAGUCAAGUAAGAUUUUAAUGUUGUGUGUGGGUUUUUUUUAAUAUAUUUUUUUUUAACUAAUGCUCUUAAUUUCCCCCCCUCCCCUGGACUUGCCAAGGAAAACCGAAACUCUGGGAACCCCACCCGUCAGUCAUCCAAGGGUCGCUUCCAUCCAGACGAGAACCAGGCGACCUGCCCCCAACC